CAAUAGCGUAUAUUAAAGUUGUUGCAGUUAAAAAGCUCGUAGUUGGAUUUCGGGGCAGCCUGGCUGGUCCGCCGCAAGGCGAGUACUGGUCAGCCGCCCUUCCUCUCGAAAGCCCCGACUGCUCUUUAUUGCAGUGGUCGGGUAGUUCGGGACGUUUACUUUGAAAAAAUUAGAGUGUUCAAGGCAGGCCUACGCCUGAAUACAUUAGCAUGGAAUAAUGGAAGAGGACCUCGGUCCUAUUUUGUUGGUUUCCAGGACCGAAGUAAUGAUUAAGAGGGACAGUUGGGGGCAGUCGUAUUUAAUUGUCAGAGGUGAAAUUCUCGGAUUUAUGAAAGACGAACAACUGCGAAAGCAUUUGCCAAGGAUGUUUUCAUUAA
rnacentral:rRNA from 1 species